rnacentral:rRNA from 1 species
AUGCAAGAAACAAUUGGCGACGACUAUGUGCGUCUCCCUGAAGACAUUGUGAUUGCUUAUACCGAGGACAAAGAACCUGUUAACAAGCUCAUCGAAGAUUUCUCCCCAUCCCUGCACACCAAUGCUAUGUCGAGAGAGUAUAUGAGCACACGUGCAAUCCUCUCGACCAAAAACAGGCAUGUGGAUGAUCUAAAUGACAAGAUGAUCUCCAGGUUUCCGGGCGAAGAAAAGGUGUACCACAGCUUUGACUCUAUCGAGGAUGACUUCUAG